GGAGGUUUUGGUGCUAUUGU
rnacentral:piRNA from 1 species